rnacentral:tRNA from 2 species
GCACGCGUAGUUUAAUGGAUAAAACGCGCCUCUCCGGAAGGUGAACUGUGGGUUCGAUUCCCGCCGUGUGCA